GUUUACRGAAACCACGCUAAGUUYGCGACGUCUGUCGCAACGCCUGGUACCCACGUCCUGUGGG
rnacentral:sRNA from 1 species